ACAGGAAAACCUCACCAAAAAGUUGACAAAUAAUUUAAGCAGUUUUUUUUCUUUUGGGUAAUGUCAGACACUCUUCAAGGGGGCUAGCAGAAAUACGUUGCGUUCUUUCUUCAUCUUUUCUUACAACUUUGGAAGGGUCAAUUUUAAGAUAUCCACAAUAUAAAAUUAACUGUUUAUAGAAAAUAUUUCAUGUUUUUAAUCUUUAUGUCUUUAUCCACUUUUUUCUAUAAGAGCUUUGGAACUGUCACUGCUCUAGACGUAGGGAUGUGAGCGCCAUCUUCAGGGGCCAUAAACCCCUAUAACUGACAAAAAACGACUGUCUCACAGAUAUCUUGAAUUUAAGUUACUUAAAAUUAUUUAGCAAUGGUACGAACUUGCUGCGUUAUUGGAUGUAAUGUCCGAUCACACGACCGAAGUGGUAAAAAGAUGGAAAACAGACUUUCGUUUCACUGUUUUCCUGCCUGUAAACAACGCGAGGGGCUAAACGAAAAGGAGACGAAUGGGUAUCAGCGGUGAGACGUCCUGAUAUUACGUUCUCCAACAUCCCAAGAUAUCUACAAGUUUGCUCCAGACAUGUCCAUUCUGGCAAACCGACGUAUGAAAUGGAUUAGCUCAAUCCAGACUGAAUAUGGGUCACUGCGAGGUAAACACCACAACAUCGGACCGACAUGCGCGUCAAUUAAAGAGGCGAUGCAGCAAGACCAUGGGGGAUCAACAAGUGGGAGAGCAAGUUGCAGAGACUGUGUUUUCAUUAUUUACCCCAGAAGAGGUAAAUAAUGAAAACACAUUAGCGGAGGCUAUAGAAGUUCGAGAGGCUGUGGAGGAAACCCCAGGAGAGGAGCUCAGCAAGGCUGCACACUCUGAAGAGGAACAUGAACCAUUUGUGUUGAAAUAUGUGUAUAGUUGGAAGUGACUGUUUUCUCUCAUUUCAUGAUUUAAUGUGGUAAACAUUCAUGAAACCUUUGAUUCAAGCACUUCAAUUUGCAUGUAAACAGAUGAUGAAAUGAAUCACAUUUUAAGUUAAAUUUUGAUAUUUAAAAGAUUUCAGGUAAUAAACAUGCAUGUAAUGAAAGAUUAUAUUUUUUAUAAACAUUUUAUAUGAUUAAAGUAAACAAUUAUAUAAUCAAACAUUUUGCAGUAAACAUUUAAUGUAAACAAUCGAAUCAGAUGAAAGAGCCCAUCUUUAAACAUUUAAUGUGUAAUUAAACAGUUAUGAGUAAACAAUAAAGGUGACAAGUAAAGGUUAUGAAAUAGAUCACAGGAUAGUGUGCCUCAUGUAAUAGCAUGAAUGACCACUUUUUUGUAUCACUUGGUCACAAGGCAAGGCAUUUAUUUACAGGAGUGUUUGGUUCGGAAAUUGAAGGUC